rfam:Escherichia coli str. K-12 substr. MG1655, complete genome.
GGACGGAUAAGGCGUUUACGCCGCAUCCGGCAACAGAUGCCUGAUGCGACGCUACCGCGUCUUAUCAGGCC